GACAGAGGGUGCAAACGUUGUUCGGAAUUACUGGGCGUAAAGCGAGUGUAGGCGGCCUUGUAAGUCGGAUGUGAAAGCCCUGGGCUCAACCCAGGAAGUGCAUUCGAUACUGCGAGGCUUGAGUAUCGGAGAGGUUGGUGGAAUUCUCGGUGUAGAGGUGAAAUUCGUAGAUAUCGAGAGGAACACCGGUGGCGAAGGCGGCCAACGGGACGAAUACUGACGCUGAGACUCGAAAGCGUGGGGAGCAAACAGG
rnacentral:rRNA from 1 species